rnacentral:lncRNA from 1 species
AUGGCUAAACAUCUGAAAUUCAUUGCCAGGACUUUGAUGGUUCAGGAGGGGAAUGUGGAAGGUGCCUACAGGACCCUGAACAGAACCCUCACCACUGAUGGGUGUACUGAAGUCAUAAAGCGACGACUGUACUAAGAGAAGCCUUGCUGCCGUGGCCAGCGGGAGAGCUAUGAAACAUACCAGAGGAUCUACAACAUGGAAAUGGCUCGAAAGAUUAAUUUCUCGAUGCAAAAGAACGGUGCAGACCCGUGGCUGGGCUGCUGA